ACGAACGCUGGCGGCGUGCUUAACACAUGCAAGUCGAACGGAAAGGCCCUGCUUUUGUGGGGUGCUCGAGUGGCGAACGGGUGAGUAACACGUGAGUAACCUGCCCUUGACUUUGGGAUAACUUCAGGAAACUGGGGCUAAUACCGGAUAGGAGCUCCUGCUGCAUGGUGGGGGUUGGAAAGUUUCGGCGGUUGGGGAUGGACUCGCGGCUUAUCAGCUUGUUGGUGGGGUAGUGGCUUACCAAGGCUUUGACGGGUAGCCGGCCUGAGAGGGUGACCGGCCACAUUGGGACUGAGAUACGGCCCAGACUCCUACGGGAGGCAGCAGUGGGGAAUAUUGCACAAUGGGCGGAAGCCUGAUGCAGCAACGCCGCGUGCGGGAUGACGGCCUUCGGGUUGUAAACCGCUUUCGCCUGUGACGAAGCGUGAGUGACGGUAAUGGGUAAAGAAGCACCGGCUAACUACGUGCCAGCAGCCGCGGUGAUACGUAGGGUGCGAGCGUUGUCCGGAUUUAUUGGGCGUAAAGGGCUCGUAGGUGGUUGAUCGCGUCGGAAGUGUAAUCUUGGGGCUUAACCCUGAGCGUGCUUUCGAUACGGGUUGACUUGAGGAAGGUAGGGGGGAAUGGAAUUCCUGGUGGAGCGGUGGAAUGCGCAGAUAUCAGGAGGAACACCAGUGGCGAAGGCGGUUCUCUGGGCCUUUCCCUGACGCUGAGGAGCGAAAGCGUGGGGAGCGAACAGGCUUAGAUACCCUGGUAGUCCACGCUGUAAACGGUGGGUACUAGGUGUGGGGUCCAUUCCACGGGUUCCGCGCCGUAGCUAACGCUUUAAGUACCCCGCCUGGGGAGUACGGCCGCAAGGCUAAAACUCAAAGGAAUUGACGGGGCCCCGCACAAGCGGCGGAGCAUGCGGAUUAAUUCGAUGCAACGCGUAGAACCUUACCUGGGUUUGACAUGGAUCGGGAGUGCUCAGAGAUGGGUGUGCCUCUUUUGGGGUCGGUUCACAGGUGGUGCAUGGCUGUCGUCAGCUCGUGUCGUGAGAUGUUGGGUUAAGUCCCGCAACGAGCGCAACCCUUGUUCACUGUUGCCAGCACGUUAUGGUGGGGACUCAGUGGAGACCGCCGGGGUCAACUCGGAGGAAGGUGGGGAUGACGUCAAGUCAUCAUGCCCCUUAUGUCCAGGGCUUCACGCAUGCUACAAUGGCUGGUACAGAGAGUGGCGAGCCUGUGAGGGUGAGCGAAUCUCGGAAAGCCGGUCUCAGUUCGGAUUGGGGUCUGCAACUCGACCUCAUGAAGUCGGAGUCGCUAGUAAUCGCAGAUCAGCAACGCUGCGGUGAAUACGUUCCCGGGGCUUGUACACACCGCCCGUCAAGUCAUGAAAGUUGGUAACACCCGAAGCCGGUGGCCUAACCGUUGUGGGGGAGCCGUCGAAGGUGGGACUGGUGAUUAGGACUAAGU
rnacentral:rRNA from 1 species